CAGUCGCCGCGGGAAUACGGAGGAUCCAAGCGUUAUCCGGAUUUAUUGGGUUUAAAGGGUGCGUAGGUGGCCUGUUAGGUCAGGGGUGAAAGACGGUAGCUCAACUAUCGCAGUGCCCUUGAUACUGAUGGGCUUGAAUGAACCAGAGGUAGGCGGAAUGUGACAAGUAGCGGUGAAAUGCAUAGAUAUGUCACAGAACACCAAUUGCGAAGGCAGCUUACUAUGGUUUGAUUGACACUGAGGCACGAAAGCGUGGGGAUCAAACAGGAUUAGAGACCCCCGUAGUCCCUGUCUCUUAUAC
rnacentral:rRNA from 1 species